AACCUGAACACAGGUAGAGGACUAGACCAGGUUAAUUCCCAACCUGAACACAGGUAGAGGACUAGACCAGGUUAAUUCCCAACCUGAACACAGGUAGAGGACUAGACCAGGUUAAUUCCCAACCUGAACACAGGUAGAGGACUAGACCAGGUUAAUUCCCAACCUGAACACAGGUAGAGGACUAGACCAGGUUAAUUCCCAACCUGAACACAGGUAGAGGACUAGACCAGGUUAAUUCCCAACCUGAACACAGGUAGAGGACUAGACCAGGUUAAUUCCCAACCUGAACACAGGUAGAGGACUAGACCAGGUUAAUUCCCAACCUGAACACAGGUAGAGGACUAGACCAGGUUAAUUCCCAACCUGAACUUGCCACAUUGCAUGAGUUGAGAACUACAUGUAACACCCUGUUGCUCCGCCCACAAAUAAUUAUACGCUCAGUAGACAAGUCCCUCACCCCAACAUACCAUAAUAUACGUCC